UAAAAAUAAAUUAAUAAAACAAAUAUUUAAUAAAAAUAAUUUUAAUAAAAUAAUUUUAAUGGGGGUUAAAGUAUAUUUUAGAAAAAAUUUUUUUUUAUUAAUAGUAUAAUAGUAUUGUAGAAGAAUUUUGAAAUAUAUAAAAAAUAUAUUAGAUAAUAAGUAAAUUUUAUUUAUUGUAUCUUGUGUAUCAGAGUUUAUUUAAUAAUUAUUUUUAUAAAAAAUAUCUCGAAUUUAAAAGAGAUAAUUAAUUAGUAAAUUUAAUGUUGCAUAAUUAUUUUUAAUAAUUAAUUUGAAAUGAAAUGUUAAUCGUUUUUAAAUAUAUCUAGUUUUUUUAGAAAAAAAUUAAAUUUUUAAUUAAUUUUUAUUAUUUUUUAAUUUAUUAAAAAAAAAUAAGAUUAAUUAAAUAUUUUAAAGGAUAAGCUUUAAAUUAAAAUUUUAUAAUAUAUUUGUAUUUUUAAAAUAAAAUUUAUAAAUUGAAAAAAUUUAUUUAUAUUUUUUUUUAUUUAUAUUUUUAUUUAUAUAUAUAUAAAUAAAAUUUUUAAAAAUUAUAUUUUUUAUAAAUUAUAAUUUUUUAUAAAUAAUUUUAUUUAAUUAAAAAUUUUAUAUAAAUUAAUUUAAUUUUUUAUAAAAAAAUAAUAUAUAAUAAUAUAGAAUUAGAAAUAAUGAUAAAAUUAGUAUAUUUUUAAUUAUAUUAUCAAAAUUUUUAUAAUUAAAAUAAAAGAAUUCGGCAAAAUUAUAUAUUCACCUGUUUAUCAAAAACAUGUCUUUUUGAAAAUAAUAUAAAGUCUAAUCUGCCCACUGAAUUAAUUUAAAGGGCUGCAGUAUAUUGACUGUACAAAGGUAGCAUAAUCAUUAGUCUUUUAAUUGGAGACUUGUAUGAAUGAUUUAAUGAAAUAUAAACUGUUUCUAUUUUAAAAUUAGAAUUUAAUUUUUUAGUUAAAAAGCUAAAAUAAAUAUAAAAGACGAGAAGACCCUAUAGAGUUUUAUAAUUAUUUAAUUAUAAUUUAUUUAUAAAAAUUAAUUAUUUUAAUUAAAUAAUUAUUUUGUUGGGGUGAUAGAAAAAUAAAAAUAACUUUUUUUUUUAUUAAACAUUAAUAUAUGAAUAUUUGAUCCAUAAUUUAUGAUUAUAAGAAUAAAUUACCUUAGGGAUAACAGCGUAAUUUUUUUUUUUAGUUCAGAUAAAAAAGAAAGUUUGCGACCUCGAUGUUGGAUUAAGAUAAAAUUUAAACGCAAAAGUUUAAAAUUUUUGAUCUGUUCGAUCAUUAAAAUCUUACAUGAUCUGAGUUCAAACCGGUGUAAGCCAGGUUGGUUUCUAUCUUUAUAUAAAUAAAAUAAUUUAGUACGAAAGGAUUAAUUAUUUUAAAUAAUUUAAUUUUUAAGAAUAUUAUUAAAUAUAAUU
rnacentral:rRNA from 1 species